GAUGAACGCUGGCGGCGUGCCUAACACAUGCAAGUCGAGCGAACGGACGAGAAGCUUGCUUCUCUGAUGUUAGCGGCGGACGGGUGAGUAACGCGUGGAUCCCCUACCUAUAAGACUGGUAUAACUUCGGGAAACCGUAGCUAAUACCGGAUAAUAUUUUGAACCGCAUGGUUCAAAAGUGAAAUACGGUCUUUCUGUCUCUUAUAGAUGCAUCCGGGCUGCUUUGGCUAGUUGGUAAGGUCACGGCUUUCCAAGGCAACGAUGCGUAGACGACGUGAGAGAGUGGUCGGCCACACUGGAACUGAGACGGGGACAAGACUCCUAAGGGAGGCAGCAGUAGGGAAUGUGACGCAGUAGGCGAGAGCCUGGCGGAGCGAGGCGGCGUGAGAGAUGAAGGUGUUCGGAGCGGGAAGAUCGGUUAUGAGGGAAGAACAGAUGUGGAAUGAGAUGAAGACUGAGUGACGGUACCGAGUCAAAAAGCAACGGCUAACUACGUG
rnacentral:rRNA from 1 species